UUACUUUCCAGGUAUGACUGUUGCUAAAGUGGAAUGGGCUGUGUACCGAAAGAGUCAGAUCUAUAUGUUCUGAGGACUGUUUUAUUAUCUGCCCCUAGAACAACUAGGAUCCGAGUUGGCCAAAGUCUGUAGCCAGAGCUGAUUUCCUGCAGGAGCCUAAGACAUUUGGUGAGGCUCUGCAGUAUCCAUUGCUCAAUUUCGGGCACUUAAAUCUUCAUUUAGAGGGGCACCUAGUUGGCUCAGUGGGUUAAAGGCUCUGCCUUCAGCUUGGGUCGUGAUCCCGGGGUCCUGGGAUCGAGCCCCGCAUCGGGCUCCCUGCUCGGUGGGGAGCCUGCUUCGCCCCCUCUCUCUCUGCCUACUUGUGACAUCUAUCUCUCUCUCUCUCUCUCUCUCUGUCAAAUAAAUAAAUAAAUAAAUAAAAUCUUAAAUCUUUAUUUAGACAUUUUUCUCCCAAUAUUUUUUUAGUAACUUCUUAUUUUCUUAAUUUUAAAGAUUUUAUUUAUUUAUUUAUUUAUCUAUUUGCGAGAGAGCGAAUGAGAGGGGGAAGGGUCAGAGGGAGAAGCAGACUGCCCACUGAGUAGGAAGCUCGAAGCAGGACUCGAUCCUGCGUCUCCAGGAUCAUGACCCAAACCGAAAGGCAGUUGCUUAACCAAAUGAGCCACCCAGGCGCCCAGUAACUUCUUUUAUUAGAAUACUAAUAUAUACCUUUUAGUAAGACACAAAAACAUAAAGAAGAAAAUUAUCUAUCAUCUUGCCACUGGGAAAUACCAAUUUUGGAAAUAUUUCUUUCCAGUCUUUUUAUCCUGUGAGUAUCCCAGUAUGAAGUCAGUGUUCUUAAUUUUUUCUCAUUUUUCUAUUUUUACCCGUAUUUCACUAUUUACUCUUUCUACAUGCAAGUUUAUUUCUAUUGUAACAAAUAUACCAAAUAAGUACUACUUCACAGCGUACAUGUUUUGGAUGGAUUAUCUUUAAGAGUGGGUAAAGACUGAAAAUACAAAUGGAUGCCAGAAGGUGAGCAUAAAUUCACAGAACCCUAGCGGACACAAUGGCAUGUUGGGAUUUCUUAAAAGCCAUUCGAGGUUGAUUUUUUAGGACAACCAUGACCUCCUGCAAACAUCCAUUGGGGCGCUUGCCAUAAAUAGGAUGACAGUUUGAAUGGACCACGAGUCAAUCUGCCUUGGUAUGGAAAUUACUGUUUGCUUCAUGUAGAGUCAGUCUAUCUGACUUGUGUUACAAAACCUGGCCUGUAUUCCUUUAGGAGUUUCCUAGCUGGGUCAUCUCUUCCUAGGAAGGGCCAGCUGGGUGGCAGGGGCAGGGGCAGGGCGGAGAGUCUGAGAACAUUGGAAACACGGCUCGCAGCACGAGGAGGUCCAGAGUGUCUGCCUCUCUUGAGAAUUCACUUCCUCUUCUCAAACCAGCUUCCUCCACUUCGUGGAAAACAGGCUGCACAUUGCACCAGCCUCAGAUCUGGUGUCUGCUGGGAGAAGCUGCCCCUCUUCUCUUGUUUCUAUUUUCAAGACAACCUUCUGACUGGCCCCUCUGAGCUCUCAUGCAAGCACAGCCUCACCCCCUAUUAGCUGUAACCUUGAGGGCCAGCUCCACUACAGCACCAGGUGGGACUGAGAGGACGGAGGGUACCUGAGGGUAAGGAGCGCUUCUCCAGAAGAAGGAAAGGCGAGGCUCAGCAGCACAAAGCCAGCUGUGGCCCAUACCCACCAGCGUGCAAGGCUUGUCUCAGCUGAGCAUGCGCAGCUUCUCAGGGUCUGUAUCUUCUAGCCCUAUACCUUCGCACUACACUUCGAUGUAUGUUACUGUAGCUGACCAUCUCCGUGGCCUUGGGAAGUAGUCAAGGCAAGCUUUAUUAUCACCAUUUUACAAGACUUCGAGAAGUCAGAUCAUCUGACCAACACUCAACAGGAAUGAAAUGGCUGAGAUUCCAGGCACUCCCCUGUCCUCUGGGACCCCUGCCGUGUGCCAGAGGCCACUCUGCUGACUGAAUGGCGCUACCUCACCAGGGUAGGAGAGCUGGGAGGAUCAGAAAGGACUGGGGUUCCCUCUCUUGUCGGGUUGAUGACCAGGGACCAAGCACACCUCCUAUUCUGGAGCCAGUCUGGUUAUGGUUGGACAUCCCAGUCAGGUCUGUCCUUUCAACCCCUCCAGAAUUUUCCUGCUUCCUAGAUAUUUUGAGAGCUCCAUCUUGAUGUAUUGUUGGUCUCUGUGGCUCUGAAUUGACUGCACACCUAAAUUUUUUUCAUCAGUUUCUUCUUUAGCACAGAGAUCAAUCCCAAAAACAUGGCUAUGGAUAGAGGCAGCCCCGAGAAAAUGGAGAUUUUAUCUUCUCUGGUUUUGGUGAAGGCCAGUUUUCAUUUUUUAUUUUUUUCUUCUUUCUUCAAAGCUUCAAAAUUAAAAAGAUACUCUUAGAGGAACCCAUAACUUGAAAAUUAUUUCUCUGAUGCAUGCCUCUCUCUAUCUUUCUUGGUUUACCUCCUGUAGUGUUCAAGGAAGCUGAAAGCUUCAAAGCCAGGAACGUGACCCAGAUCUCUUUGAUGGCAGUGGUAACAUCUUGGGAAGGAAAGCAUAGAGUUAAUGCUGAAAUUAGCAUUCCUGGAAGUAGCAAGUGACUUGAAAAUUAUGCUGACUUGUCUUGCAUGCAUUGUAUUUGUAUCCUAACCAAGUGUUUCCAAGGAGCUAUCCCUGGCAAUGGAACAGACGGAACCAAGGGGCUUGAAUGUGUUCUAAUCACCGAUGACUACAGAAAAUGAACUGGAAUCUAUUUAGAUCACUGUAUUGCAUGAGCAUGAGAGUGAUGUUCUCAUCUUUUUUUUUCCCCUAUUGGACCUUCUUAAGAAAAUGGAAUACCCUUGAUAUGGUAUCUAAAAAUAAAGUAAGUGAUGCUUUGAUGUCUGUUCUUUCUUUUCCAUGUAACAGUGGGUGUGUGUUUCUCAGAGCUGUGUGCCAGUAAUCAGACAGGGCCAUGAACAAAUGUCCAUUGCUUCCAAGUCAUAAGAACACUUGGCAAAAAGGUGACUUUCCCUCCUGUCUCCUGUCUUUGAACUUUAAACGAUACGGAGAAACUUGUCUUAACAAGAGAGGGAUAAAAAAGACCUGCCAAGUUUAAACACUGGUUGAUAACUAGCUUCAUAUCAGCUGUACAACCCAUACCAUGUAGUCUGAAGAUGAAAAAUAGUGUUCUCUUUUGCCUUCUAAAAGAGCUCCCGACUAACUUGCCGGUGUCACAGAAUGGUUAAGUCCAUGCCUUGAUCCACGCCGUGUACUCAGGUUAUCACAGAAAUCUCGGAGGUGUAUGUGGCAAUGUAUGGGAUAUUGCAUUCUCUAACAGAAACAUCAGUUUCCCUUUCUCGCAUUUGGUCAAGCUUGCCUCUAUCUGGUUAUCACUUGAGGUUUCUUGUGCCCCUCAACACAUUUCUCUCAUCCUUUAUUUAUGUCUCUUUUGGUCGAACCCUUUUCUCUCUCUCCCUUUCCUGUUUUCCUUCUGCUGCAUGCACCUCUGGCAGUGUGGGAUUCUGGCCGCACUAAAGUGGGGGCAGCUGACCGGAUGACUUUUUGGUCCUCAAGGCCAGGAAGGACACAAUAAGAGGAGACGGAGGAGUCUGGGACAUCUGUGUUGUGAGAGAACAGUUGUACGAGCUAGUUCUUGUGCUUCAGAGCUGCAGUUUCUGUUUUUUGAGUUGAGACGGAUGAGAUGGGAGAUUAAGAGUUUCUCUGAAGUAUCAUAGUUGAAACUGUUGGUUGCCUGAGUUUAUUCUUGGCUCUACAUACAGUUAAAUAGCUCUGCGACCUGGUUUCUUAACUUUGGAAAACUUUCUCAUGCAAGAAAGUAGGAAUCCCAAAUAGUGCCUACUUCAUAGAGCUGUUAUAAGGAUAAUAUUAUGUAACUUAUAUCAAGGACAUUGCCCAGUGUGUAGUAAAUGCCCAAUACAUAUUAGUCACUAUUCAUUGUUUUACAUUCAUUGGACACAGUUGUCUCUUUAUCACUGGUAUGUUUUCUUUAAAGUUCAAAUGUCAGGAAAGAAGCAAUCAGACUUUCCUUUCUGUUGAGGUACUUAGAUCAGGAUGGUAAACAGAUGGAAGAUUUGCUGCUAGAGUUAAUGGUGACCAGUGGGACGUAAAAUUGGACUUUUAUAGAAAACACAAAGACCACAAGAAAACUGCUAUGGAUUGGUUAGGCGUAAGAAGCUAGACCGGCAGGGCUAGAGACUGUUGGGAAGUUUAAGAUAUUUCUGAGUCCGAAAUGACUGAAAAGACUGAGUACCCGCUUCUGAUUUGUCUGAAUUCUUUUAUUUUUGUGAAAACACUCUUUUGGCCAGCAUGGCUUAUGUUUUCUCUUCUGUAAGAGAAAAUAGCUAAAGAAAAAAAAAAAAGAAGAAGAAGAAGAAGAA